rnacentral:lncRNA from 1 species
UGUGGUAACUGCUUCUUAUCUUCUGUAUUCUUGAUGCUCUGGCUUUGUGGGCCUUGCUGACUGAGGAGAGACUGCUGUUCCCAGGACUAGCCUGUUUGCCUUGCCCUGCCUUCCCUUUCCCCCAGAAACACGACGAAGCCUCUGGCCUGAGCGUGCCCCUGGCUCCCUUCUGCCUCCUGACCAACACUGGUGCAUCCCUAUGGCCCUGUGGGGCCUGGUGUGCUCCCUUCUCUUGGGAAUUACAAGUAGUAAAGCUUCUUGCGAUGACACCAGGAAGAAGCAAUGUCUCCAUGCUGUCAUGCAUCGCCUGUAUCAAUUAAAAUCCCAUGAGUAAAAAUCGAGACAUCUCUUAAGGUCUCCACUCCUCCAACCAAGCCUCUCCAAAACUGUGACCAGCAUUCUUCACUUCAGUGCUCAUCAACUCGCUAUUGCUCCAAGACUUUCCGUAGCUUCCCACUGUCCAUCAAAUCAUGUCCAGAUCACUUAAAUGUGGAAUUCAGCGUUGCCUAGAACCUAGCCUCAAACUAGUACUGCAGCAUUUUCCCACAGCUCCGUUUACAUUUCCUUCACGCCAGGCCACCAGACUAUUCAUAGUUCCCUGUCUACAUAGUCCCCCGUUUCCAGCCUCUAGGCCUUCGCUCACACUGGACAGUCCUCUUUGAAAAGAACCAUCCACUGCCAUAUUACUAAAUCCCAGCCUUCUUUCAGAUGUCGACUAAGGAAAUGUCAUCUCCUCCAGAUGUUUUAUUAGCCACUUGUCAUAUAUUUCCCUCUGUGGGCCAUCGUGUGUUCUACCGUAUCUCUACUCUGGCAUAGGUCUUUUUUAAAAAUUAUCAUUAUUUCUCCUGAGACAGGGUUUGGCUCCGAUGCCCAGGUCAUAUCCCAUUAGGUUAUAAGCACCUUGAGGACAGGGGCCAUGUCAUGUUAUCCCAUCACCUCUUGGUAUAUAAUUGGUGUUCUGGCAGGUUAUGGAUGAAUAGAUGGAAAGUAGCCCAUGUUCCUUAUUCAGGAUAGUGAAAUGGUGAUGUACAACAACCCAGUGUUUUCCAAAGGUGUGAGAAAGUCUCCCCCAGGUGUGGUAAGGACUCCCUGCCUCCUCACUGGCACUGUGGUGGCAGUCUCUGUGCAAGUUUUGAGCAGGCAUGGGAAGGGGUACAGGUCACAGGUUGGAGCUGCACUUCAUCACCACACUGGUCCUUCCAGGGGCAGUGGGGUGUGACUGGCGGUGCAGGAGCAAGGAGGCUGCCCUUCCUCACAGCAGCUCCACUGCACCAGACUUGGAGAACAGGCAAGUUGGAUGCUAUCCACACUCUCCGAGCCCUGUUCCCCCGCCUGGCCUGAGACCAGCCAUAACC